GACGAACGCUGGCGGCGUGCCUAACACAUGCAAGUCGUACGGGACCGGGGGCGAACUCCGGCCCAGUGGCAGAUGGGUGCGUAACACGUGAGGAACUUGUCCGACGGUGGGGGAUAGCCGGCCCAACGGCCGGGUAAUACCGCAUACGCUCGCUUGGGGACAUCCCCGGGCGAGGAACGCAGCCGCAAGGUUGCGCCGAUGGAGAGCCUCGCGGCCUAUCAGCUUGUUGGCGGGGUAAUGGCCCACCAAGGCGACGACGGUAGCUGGUCUGAGAGGAUGGCCAGCCACAUU
rnacentral:rRNA from 1 species